GACGACGCUGGCGGCGUGCCUAACACAUGCAAGUCGAACGAAGCAUAGCAAUAUGCUUAGUGGCGGACGGGUGAGUAACGCGUGAACAAUCUGCCCUGUACAAAGGAAUAGCCUCGGGAAACCGGGAUUAAAACCGUAUGACACUUUAGUAUCGCAUGAUAAGAAAGUCAAAUCGAUUAGAGGUAUGGGAUGAGUUCGCGUCUGAUUAGCUGGUUGGCGGGGUAACGGCCCACCAAGGCGACGAUCAGUAGCCGGCCUGAGAGGGUGAACGGCCACACUGGAACUGAGACACGGUCCAGACUCCUACGGGAGGCAGCAGUGGGGAAUAUUGCACAAUGGAGGGAACUCUGAUGCAGCGACGCCGCGUGAGUGAAGAAGGUCUUCGGAUCGUAAAACUCUGUCCUUGGUGAAGAAAAGGACGGUAGCCAAGGAGGAAGCCCCGGCUAACUACGUG
rnacentral:rRNA from 1 species